GUCAGGGUCUGGUGUGGACUGUUCUGCUGUGGUGUCGACUCUAUGGUCAGGGUCUGGUGUGGACUGUUCUGCUGUGGUGUCGACUCUAUGGUCAGGGUCUGGUGUGGACUGUUCUGCUGUGGUGUCGAGACUUUUGUCAGGUGCUGAGGUGGGCUGUUCUGCUGUGAUGUCGACUCUAUGGUCAGGGUCUGGUGUGGACUGUUCUGCUGUGGUGUUGAGACUUUUGUCAGGUGCUGAGGUGGGCUUUUCUGCUGGCUUCUCUGCGGGGGUGGCCACCUCUCUAGUGGGUUGUUCUCUGUCACACGCCACCCCCCUCAACCUCUGC
ensembl:lncRNA